GAUGAACGCUGGCGGCGUGCCUAAUACAUGCAAGUCGAACGCAUUGAGAGAAGUGCUUGCACUUUUCAAUUUGAGUGGCGAACGGGUGAGUAACACGUGGGCAACCUACCUGAUAGCGGGGGAUAACGAGUGGAAACAUUCGCUAAUACCGCAUAACAAUAGAGAAGGCAUCUUCUUUAUUUAAAAGGCGCUUUCAAGCGUCACUAUCAGAUGGGCCAGCGGUGCAUUAGUUAGUUGGUGGGGUGAAGGCCUACCAAGACGAUGAUGCAUAGCCGAGUUGAGAGACGGAUAGGCCACAUUGGGACUGAGACACGGCCCAAACUCCUACGGGAGGCUGCAGUAGGGAAUCUUCCACAAUGGACGAAAGUCUGAUGGAGCAACGCCGCGUGUGUGAUGAAGGCUUUCGGGUCGUAAAGCACUGUUGUAUGGGAAGAAAUGCUAGGCUAGGAAAUGAGCUUAGUUUGACGGUACCAUACCAGAAAGGGACGGCUAAAUACGUGCCAGCCGCCGCGGUAA
rnacentral:rRNA from 1 species